rnacentral:rRNA from 2 species
GUAGUCAUAUGCUUGUCUCAAAGAUUAAGCCAUGCAUGUCUAAGUAUAAGCACUUUAUACUGUGAAACUGCGAAUGGCUCAUUAAAUCAGUUAUCGUUUAUUUGAUAGUACCUUACUACAUGGAUACCUGUGGUAAUUCUAGAGCUAAUACAUGCUAAAAACCUCGACUUCGGAAGGGGUGUAUUUAUUAGAUAAAAAACCAACGCCCUUCGGGGCUCCUUGGUGAAUCAUAAUAACUAAGCGAAUCGCAUGGCCUUGCGCCGGCGAUGGUUCAUUCAAAUUUCUGCCCUAUCAACUUUCGAUGGUAGGAUAGUGGCCUACCAUGGUGGCAACGGGUAACGGGGAAU